AUCAACUCCAAGUACCACAUUAUUACUAGCUUCUCAAACUGAAGUAUGCACAGCCCCAGUUCUGUACAGAAGGGAUGCAAAACAGCAGAAUAUUUGUGGUACAACCUUCUAGAGCAUCAAUUUUACUCUCAGAUUUUGAAGAACAGAACUUAAGUAAUUUACAUGGGCUCCAGGCAGCCGCCACAAGUGGACCAGUGUUGGCGAACAAGGUCAGAACUGCCCUCCGAGAGCAGGUAGAGUGGAAGCUGGAUCCCGCAGCUGCAGUGGGAAAAACUAAUGGCCCCCCGAGAAGAAUAUAUGAUCCACUCCCUGAGAGAACGCGAAUCCCGGAAGUCCUCCUGCUGAGAGCUCAGAGCAGAGGCUUCAUUUCCCCUCUCCUGGGCUGUCCUCCCUCUGGCUGGCCGGAAAUCAGAUGUGACAUCCCGAGACUGACUCCAACACCAUCCUGCCCUGAGGCGACCAUGAAGCUGGCAGACGCCGACUCUCCCUGUGAGUCGAUCAGGGUCCAAGGCCGAACUCUCCGUCAGGCAACUGAACGCACGAGGGGCUUCCAGAUGAAUCUGGCUGCUGCUUCAUUCCCCAGGGCCACAGGGGCUCAGACACAUCUUCCUCUCAGUGACACUGCCCUGUGGUUCAGUAGCCCAGGGUGCUUACCUUUGCUGUUGGGGAUAACAGUACCCUCUAAAUUAGGGUGGGAGUGAGGAGGGGGUGUAUCCGCUAAUUACGUAGAGGAAUGGUCAGGGGCCAAGGAUGGGGAGAGACUCUGGUUGGGGAAGCAGAGUGUACAAACCGUGUGGAACACAGAAGCAGAGCUGGGCGACAGCUCGAAGGUGUAAAUCCAUGUCCCGUUCUAGAUAAGGUGGCAUUAAAUGUGAGGGGAAAUUGUUCAGGCACAGGCAAGCUUUGGCUUUUGGGCUCAGUGCUCUUUGGUUUGGGGAAUGAUGAGGCCGUCAUCUGUUGGCCCUGAUCCGGGGUUUGAUGCUCUGGGUAAGAGGGUCCCCCUCCCAAGAAUCCAGGCCUUUCCCAGUUCUAGAGGAUGAGUGGUAAAUGUCUAGCUACAUUUGACGUGCUUUCCAGAAAUCUGCUGCUGAGACCCCCCAUGCCGGCAGCUUGCCCUCCCUGGUGCUGAGAGUAACAACAGGAAAGAGUCCCCCGUACCUGGGCCUGUGCUUCCGGGGUUUUGAUGGAAAUGCUUUAAAGGAACUGCUUUGUGAGCUGCGAUGACUUGGCUGCAGAAAAAGCACAUCAGAGCUGGAGGUAGACAGUCUCUAACACUGGCAUGGGGCCGGGUAACUCGGAUGGACGCUGGCUGAGGCAAUAAUGAGUCCUUCGUCACGGAAACUGGCGACCACUCAGCGCUGUAGGGCCUGAGGUCUCAUCAUACAUCACUGGGUUCAUGAGAGUCUAAAAUCAACCCAAUAAUUAAGAUGUCCAUUGUUUGUUGAGGGUUUCUUUUUCCUUUUAGGGGAAACGAGAGUGGAGGAGAUGGAAAAGAAAGCAAGCUUAACGGAUAAGGAGACCGUUAACUGUUACAAAUAGCAUCAUGGCAUUAUUCGGACUCACAGCUUGCCUAAAGUUGCAGUUAAAGUGCCAUUUUCAAUGCCCAAAUUGCUAAUUUGGUUGCUUAAGUUCUUUCUUUUGUAUUUUAAUUAGAAAACUUCAGUUCAGGACUGUAGGACUUACUAUCGCCCCUCACUCCGCCCCGUGCCUACUUGUCAUUGUUCCAAGAAAAUGGGAAACCAGGUUGAUGGAACAUGUACUAAGUUCCAUGAGAGCAGGGAGUGUCUGUCAUGCUCACUGCUGUGCCCCAGGGCUCAGCACAGUGUCGGUGCAUAGCUGGUUCUCAACAAACAUCAACUGAAUAAAUACUACUUUCCAUAUGGCUUUGCUUCA
rnacentral:lncRNA from 1 species